rnacentral:lncRNA from 1 species
CAUUCUGGUCACCGCGCUUUGGUUUCUCAGAUAGCAUGAACAAACACCUUGAUAUGAAGGAGAGGACUAAUCACAGUUAUGUUCAAGUUUUGGGUCCAAUCAACUGGCCAGGUGGCUUACAAGCACCCCCAAAGGGGUGGACUCUUGUCGAUGAAGAAAGACCCUUGAAGAUAGGGAUUCCAGCGAGGGGUGCCUUCAAUCAGUUUGUGAAAGUAACAUAUGACCAGAACACGAAUCAAACACGCAUCACAGGGUUUUCAAUUGAUAUGUUUGAAGCAGCUGUCAAAAACCUGCCUUAUCAUAUGCCUUAUGUGUUUGUUCCCUUCAAUGGCUCAUAUGAUGAAUUGGUGGAACAGGUCUACUACAAGGUACACGUUAUUAUUCUCGUAGAGUAAUCCCAGGUCCAAAAGACAUAGGUUUUGAGUCCCCUUAUUGUCUAACAUGGUAUCAAAAAUGCAACAUUGAAGUGUCUUUGACACAAUAUGACACAUAUCAAUCCUGUAUGGCUUUAACAAGGGUUCUGUAGACAUUGAUAUAUGACAAUUUUACUAAUGUAAAACAGGGCUUGGAUGCAGCUGUUGGUGAUAUAGAAGUCAUAGCUUACCGGUAUCAUUAUGUUGAGUUCUCACAACCAUAUAUAAGCUCUGGACUUGAGAUGAUAGUCCCUGUAAAGUCAGAUAAGCUGAAGGAAAAAUGGAUGUUCAUGAAGGCCUUCAGCAAAACCAUGUGGUUUCUCAUGAUCAUUAUACAUCUAUCUGUAUGCUUUGUCGUCUGUUUUAUUGAAAAUGAGCAUGGCCAAAACUUUGAAUUAAAGAGAAUUGGGGACAUCCUGUGGUUCUCUGUCACCGUCUUAUUUUUCGCGCAAAGUAAGUCUAUGUGUAAGCUAGUAUCUUAAGUUUUUAAAGUUGAGUGAUUGUCUUAACAUGCAACUAUAAUAUGCAGGAGAACGAGUCCAGAGUAAUUUGGCAAGGCUGGUAUUGGCUCCAUGGUUACUAGUGAUUCUACUAGUAGUGGCCACUUUCACAGCGAGCCUCUCUUCCAUGAUGACUAUCUCUCGAGUCCAGCCAUCUGUGCUCGAUGUGGAAACACUGAAGAAAGGAAAUGGAACUGUUGGACGUAACGGCAACUCCUUUAUCGUAAGGUACCUUAUCGAUGUUCUAGAGUUCAGACCAGAAAACAUCAAGAGAAUUUCCGCCAUAAGUGACUACCCAAAGGCCUUUGAGAGUGGAGAAAUUCAAGCAGCUUUCUUCGUUGCGCCCCAUGCUAAAGUCUUCCUCGCAUGUUACUGCAAGGGCUAUAUGAAAGCAGGUCCGAUAUACAAGCCUAGCGGCUUUGCAUUUGUGCGUAACUCUCCCUCCUUUGUCUUUUUCUUUGAGAUAUUUUGUCGAACAUCUGGCUAAUAGUGAGUCUUUAGAAAACCAACUAGUAACUGAUCAUUGGGGCAUUUUCCAAUUGUUUGAUUCAGGUUUUUCCAAAGGGGUCUCCUCUGGCCAUUGACAUGUCAAAGGCAAUCGUAGAAGUAAACGAGAAGAAGCAAGUGGAGCUAUUAGAAAGACAAAUGCUCUCCUCCUUCAACUGUUCCCCUUCACUCAACUCGAACGAUGGUCCAAUAGGUUAUGAGCCCUUUUCUGGCCUAUUUCUAAUCUCAGGUUUGGUUUGUGCAUUUGGGCUUCUGGUUACGAGCGGGCGUAAAGCCGAUAGGCUUCUACACAAUAUGAGCUGCAUACGAGCAAUACUAAUCAAAACAAGAACUCUGACAUGGGUUUUUCUGUACUUGAAUCAGAGCUACAGACAAUCUCAAAAGCAUUGCUCCACAAGCUCCAUUCUAGAAACUUGCUCUACAAGGAACAUGAGUAGUGGUGUUAUAGUGAUUUAGGACUCAUCUGUCAAAUUGUAUAAAAAAAAACUUAGGAGUAACUAUUUACAUGAUAUAGAUUAAAUGAAAUGAAUAGUUGAUGAAACACUUGAGAUUCAGAGAAAAAAAAUGUAAGCAUGUUAGUGAAGUCUCUUGUACUAAAUCUGUAUUGAUUACAAGCACUACAUUUUCAAGAAAAAGAAAGGUUUUGUUUCAGAAAAUGUAAUCAGAUGAAACAGGUAGAAGCUAUUACAUAAAUUGGGGAAUGUUGGCACAUCUAACGUUGUUUGGUCAUCUUCACAAGGGCAUUUCCUAGUUGACGUAGGAAUAGAUGAAUACUCAAUGGAAAUGCAGUAAAUGUACAUAACUGCUAUUACAUUGUUAAGCUUUACUCAAUUGAAAUGGACAUCAGUACUUGAUACAUUAAGAUUGCUAGUUUUCUCUAAGAAAAUGACAUUAAAGUGCAUUUUGGAGAAAUGUACAUAACUGCUAUUACAUUGUUAAGCUUUACUCAAUUGAAAUGGACAUUAGUACUUGAUACAUUAAGAUUGCUAGUUUUCUCUAAAAAAGUGACAUCAAAGUGCAUUUUUGAGAUUAUGAAACCAAUUUUGGAUGGGGAAAGCCAUUGAUGGAAUUAUUGAACCGGUUAAGUACAGGUUUUUGAGUUCACCAAAUGAUGUUACGUACAGGUUUUUGAGUUCACCAAACGAUAUUGGGAUGGAAUGGAAAAAAAAAUUCUGGCAAAGACAAGAGAGUCAUGUUAGAUUUCCAGCCCCAAUACCAAAUUUAUGAACCGGCCCAAAAUAACAACUUGAAGGGAAAGAAACGUUCCUUGACGUAAUCAAUACCGUGACGUAAUCAAUAUCGCAGCCGAUUUUCUUGGCAACCUCAGGAUGAAAAGGUAGCAACCUCUCAAGAACAGUCUUUUGAUGCUCAGGACUCAACCUAUCCCCACUCUCAUACUUUCCAGAGUGAAGAAUCAUCCUCACAAACCCAACCAGCGGAACAGUAUCUUCUAGAAUCUUAUCUUCCCAAUCAACCCAUUUCCCAUCCUCUCCCUCAUCUUCCUCCGAAUUCCCAUCCAAGUAGACCUGUAAAUGGACCGGAUCUGGAGCGGAUCUACCUAGAUCCAGAUCCGGAUCCGUAAUAAAAAUUUUGGAUCCGGAUCCGACCCGUUACCCGCCGGAUCUUUGAUAGCUAGAUCCAAAUCCGGAUCCGGCGGGUUAACGGAUACCCUACCCAUUAAUCCGAUCCGUUUAUAAUUAUAAAUAUUUUCAAAUUUUAAAUAAUAAUUUCUUAAUUUUAUCAUAAAUUUUCAUAAAACACUAAUAAAAUAUUAUAACAAAAUAAAGAUUUACAUACAAAAUUGAAUUACAUGGUCAAAAUACUCGUUAACAAUAAACUAAUAUAUUCAAAAUAUUAACCUCCAAUGUAUUUAGCAAAGAGCAUAAAAAGAACAUAGACAUCAGUAACCUUCAACUUUAUCAAAUGAUCAUAUUCAAAUAAUUAUUAUAUUAUUUAAUAUUUAUCAAUAAUAUUAUAUUUAUAAAAUGUUAUUUAAUUAUUUUAAAACGGACCCGGGUCCUAAACGGAUCGGAUCAACCUCGAUCCGUAUCCGAUCCGUUUAAUAAACGGGUUACCGGAUCCGGGUCCUUAACGGAUCAACGAGUCUAAUUUUCAAUCCAAACCUGUUUAAAAACCACGGAUCCGGAACGGGUCUGGAUCAAGAUCCGGUCCAUUUACAGGUCUAUAUCCAAGUCCGUCACCACCGGCUUCCGCAGCAGCUCCAGCCCGUCUGCCUCCUGCCGCCCGGCCCCGGUCUUCAGCGCACAUAAGCGGGUGCGGAGCAACGACGUCGUUUUGGAGAAGGAUAGAGUUGCUGGACCAAUCAGAGCGUGGGAAGAGGAGGUGAGGUGGUUGUGGACGAGCAGCGGUGGUUUGGAGAGAGAGGCCAUGUUUGGAGUGGUAGCGAUUUGAGCUCAAUUCGUUGUUCUCUCCAAGUAUUGAAGACCCAUCAUCGUCAAAUCAUCAUCAAUCAGAGUCAGUUGGUUUUGGUUUGCUUGCAGUGUUUUGUAGAUAAAGAACUGAACGAUGCGCGCUCGGCUAGAGAGUCUCCACCUCUGCUUCGCACUUUUGGGCCUUACACCAAAGCCAAGGCCUAACAUAAACAUAACUUAAAUGAUGGACCCUCCAGCCCGCUAGGCCUACGAACCACUCAACCGCCUAGACACAGCACGUGUCGCCUAGCCCGCAGGUUUUUUUUUUCCUUUAACUGAACGAGGCCCAACACAAACAUAAAUGGUUGAUCCCUCAGCCCGCUUGGCCCACGAACCUCUGUACCGCCUAGCAGCAGCACGUGUCCGCCUAGCCCGCAGUUUUUUUUUGUUUUUUUUUUCUUUAAAUCCCGUUCAGUUAAAAAUAAUAAUAAGUGUAAGCUCCCAGGAAUGAAAUCUAUUAAUCUAGGGUUACCAAUAAGUUCUUCAAACUUCAUAACCAUGCCUCCGGCGGUUUUCUCACUUCUCCCUCUCAAACUGGUCGCCGUGAAAACGAACCCCGGAUCAUAGAUGGAUCAUAGAUUCAAAGGAGCACUCAUCGGCGAACAGUAUCGUGCUGAGUCAACGAUCAGAACCACAAUUUACAAACAGCUCACUUGCCUGCUAAAUCUUUAAAGCGAUUCAGCUCCGUUUCUAAACGUUCCGGAUUUCUAAUCUCUGACCCAGAGUUCGGUAAAACGCACUAUGAAUUAUCUUCCAAGUGCCAAACCCUAACUCACAUGUUAGAGUUAUAUCUAAUGUGGACUCAAGAUUAACACAUGAGAGUCCAACAUAUAUAAAUAUCUUGUGAAAUAAGUAAAUGAGGUUAAUAGAUAAUACUUAACUUGGAUAUUUACCUUAUUAAUCUGAUUAGAUAAAUACAAGGAGUUUGAGAUAACAUAGAAUAUAUGUUAUAGUUAUCACAUAAGGUAAUUGAUUGGUUUAUUAGAGUUGCCUUGUGAGUUGCCUUGUGUAAGCUCAUUCUACGCCUGUAAGUUUUUCAUACUCACUGUGAAAAGGUAAUCUGGAGAAUUACACAGAAGACUUCCUCUACUCUAGCUUGAUGGCAUUGAACAUGAACAACCAAGGUUGGUGCUUCUAAUUCUUAUACAUGUUUAUAUGUUCUUGUUUUGCUGAAACAUGAUGCAAUGUGUUUAUAUUUAUAUGUGGUUUUCAGUCACAGUCGUCAGACUCCUAGUAAUCGAAAAAUACAACCAUGAAGAAGUCACAUAUGCAUCUUAAUUUCAACCUGGAGACGCGGUCGUCCGGAAAAAACAAAUCUCCGGUCAGGAGGGACAACGUUCCGUUCAUGAAACCGGGACAUGGUCUUAACAUGUAUAUGGUCGGCUCAUGCAAGGGUUUGGUAGCCUGUAUAACUGUACGAUAGGAAUUGUAUAUACUCGUAUAUUUGGAACCCAUUGACAAGAUUUUUCAACAAAUUACCUGAACCAGAAAUUAGCCGCGCCGCGUACAAGGUUAUCAGGGUUUUGGUUACGAAAUUCUUGUGUCGAACUCUAGGUUAUAUAUGAAAUGCGACAUUGCGACCCUGAUCACAUGGACAUAACGCCAUAACGGCGCUCAUCUUCUCGUCGAAAGCUGGCGUGUGGAGAAAGAUUGAAACCCCUCUCAAGUUCCACCCGGAGAGUUUCGACCAGGGAGUUCUUCUGAACGAGACACUCCAUUGGAUUUGCGAUGACUAUAAUUCUAUAAAUACACCCAACAAUUUGUUAUUGUUGCUUUUGAUUUGGCAAAGGAAGAAUUCCGGAAAACGAUGCUGCCUAAUAAUAAUACUUCCAGGCAAACCUUAUCGAUGUUUGGUGUGGAGGAGGAGGAAGCCUGUAUGUACUGGCCGUAGCGUGAUUGAAUCUGUUGAGUGUUGGUUAUGAGAGAAUAUUGUGACACUGAUUCAUGGGCUAAGUUGUAUACAUUGAAGCUUGGAGAUAAUAUUAAUGCGGUUGAACCAAUAUCUAUGGGGGUUGUGGGAAUUAGUACAGUUAUGAUGGUAAUAGAGGACAUGUCUCGUUAUUGGGGGAAUGUGUUCAGGAUUGGUCAUGAAGGAGACAAGCACGACUUGUUUAAAGGGAUGCCAGCAGCCAAGAAUAGAUUGUAUAUGAAGAGAGUCUGCUUGGUCCUGGUGAUUAAGUUAUGGAUUGGAAGAGAUCGAAGGCCAAGGUGGGAAGGCUGCUGAGACUGGAAUAUAUAUCCACACAAGCCCUAGAAUCCCUAGAUGAAGGGAGUGACUGCUCAUUCUUUGCAUUAUUGAUCUGCUGGUUAGUUUUUCCGGCCUCAUUUUGGCUCUGUAAUACCGGAAAAUUCUACUAUACCUAUACCUUAUGUCUUAUGAAAUCCUAGGCAAAGUUUCUUCAACUCCUUACCCCAUCACCCCCUUGUAAGCAUUUGUAACCACAUAUUAGUGUCAUGUAUGCCAUACGUUAAGGUAUAGUAGACAAACCCUAUAAUAUUAUGUUUCAAGACUACGUAUUUGAAACCUGUUAUUAAUUUGUCAAUUUUCUUGGUAGCAAUUUUCUUGUCAAUUUCUGAGAAGUAAAUGUAUGAACCAUGAAGUUUUCUGAAGCAACUAAGGCUCCCAUUUGCAUUUGAAGAGUGAACAUGCUAAACAAUUGUGGGGAAUGCUAAAAAUCAAGGUUCUGAUAAUGAGAGCUUGAAGGAAACACGAAAUUGAAAUCAUAAUCAAAGACGAAGAAACAAAGAGAUCAGAAAAGAGAGAAGCAAAACUUUUGUAUUACUGUAUUAGAAUAUGGUUUUGAUGUAUUAGAAAAUACAGAGAAGAAAAAUCUUAUCUAUUUAAUCGGAGAAAUUGCUGGGGAUAGACUUGAUCUCCAAAUUGUCGAUGAAACCACUGAUUUGCUGUGACCAAAGCAUGCUCAAGAACAUUGCACAAACUUGUCUUGGGCUCUUGACCAAAAAAAAAAAACUUGGCUAGGGCUCAUUGAUAAUCUAGGCCUGCUAUAGGAAGUGGGUUAUUGACUGGGCCUAUCUAUACUCUUAACAGGGAAGACAUGUUUAAUAUUAGUCAGGGUCUAAUACAAACCAUUCUUUAGUCCCAACGGAAGAAAAACUGGUUCUGUUGAGUAUUGACUUCUAAACUAACGACUAAUAUGCUGGAUGAUAGUGAUGAACUGAUGAUGAUUAUUUCUCAGCAGAAGCAUCCCGGAAGAAUUGCCAAUAAUAGCAUUUUCAAACUUUGAAUCUUUCUUUGGUUCCUUUCUCAAGUCAUUCAAGAUUCCAAGGUCAAUCAAACCCAUGAUUAUAUUCUCCUAUGAUUCUCAGAAGGAGUAUCAAGCUAAGAAAUUAAGAAAAGUUAUGUCUUGGGGUCUCUUAGUUUCGCUGCUGCUGGUGAGUUCAUCCCUGAUCAAUGGAAGAGGGGACAGAUGUCAAAAGCGCCAACAACACAGAGAUGCAACAAUAGGAGCUGUAGUUGAUUUCACUUCUCGUGUGGGAAAAGAACAGAGAAUAGCCAUGGAUUUGGCUAUCCAAGACCUUCUUCACCCGAGCUGCCUUACAGUAAACUUAGACCUCAGAGAUUCACAAGGCCGUUCUGCUAAAUCAACUUCUGCUGGUAAUUUAUGGUAUUUUCUUUCUGAGGUUUUAGUGUCGAAAACCAUAGUAACAUUACUACUUCACUAGUUCAGUACUCUAAUAUUUGGCCAUCUAAUUUUGUUUUCUUUGGCAGCAAGCAAUCUUCUGAAUGAUAAAAAAGUUGAAGCCAUCAUUGGAACUCUAACCAUGCAAGAAGCAGCUGUAGCCUCUGAGAUCGAAAUUCGGAACGGAAACUUCACCAUUUUAUCACUUAUUUCAACCGCCAUAAAACCAUCUCCAGCCUCACUUCAACUGCCAAAUUAUCUCCAAGUAGCAAAUGACAUUGUUAUCCAUAUACAAUGUUUAGCAGCUUUAGUUGGUCAUUUCCAAUGGAGGAAGGUGACUGCACUUUAUGAACAAAACACCGACUUUUCCUCCAAUUCUGGAAUGAUCACCCUCCUCUCUGAUUCACUUAAAUUGGUCAACUCAGAGAUUGAACACCACCAAGCUUUCCCACCCCUCUCUUUUCUCCCUGAUCCGGAUGCCUUCUUCGAUGAAGAGCUGAAGAAGUUGAGGAGCAAGAGCAACAGGGUUUUCAUAGUCACCCAGUUCUCUUUGGAUUCAGCUGUUUUUCUGUUUCGGAAGGCAAAGGAAAUGGGGAUGAUGGGUAAAGGCUAUGUAUGGAUUGUCACAGAUGAGAUUGCAAGUCUUCUUGACUCUGUUGAUACUUCUAUAAAGUACAAUAUGCAAGGUGUGAUUGGUAUUAAAACCAACUUCAUAGAAACAACUAAAAAUUUCGCGAAGUUUAAAACCAGAUUUCGCAGACUGUAUGGACUGCAAUAUCCUGAAGAAGAAGAAAACUCUAGUCCAAGCAUCUUCGCUCUUCGAACAUAUGACACAGUGCACGCCAUUGCUCUAGCCAUGAAAAAUGCUGCCUCAAAUUAUUUGUCUCAAGAAAUUUUGUCCACCAAAUUCCAAGGUUUAAGUGGCAUGAUGGAGUUCAAGAAUGGAAUGCUAUCCCAAUCACCAACCUUUCAAAUCAUUAAUGUGUAUGGCAGAAGCUACAGCGAGAUUGCAUUCUGGUCACCGCGCUUUGGUUUCUCAGAUAGCAUGAACAAACACCUUGAUAUGAAGGAGAGGACUAAUCACAGUUUUGUUCAAGUUUUGGGUCCAAUCAACUGGCCAGGUGGCUUACAAGCACCCCCAAAGGGGUGGACUCUUGUCGAUGAAGAAAGACCCUUGAAGAUAGGGAUUCCAGCGAGGGGUGCCUUCAAUCAGUUUGUGAAAGUAACAUAUGACCAGAACACGAAUCAAACACGCAUCACAGGGUUUUCAAUUG